rnacentral:rRNA from 1 species
GGUAACGGCUUACCAAGACUUCGAUGAGUAGGGGUCCUGAGAGGGAGAUCCCCCACACUGGUACUGAGACACGGACCAGACUCCUACGGGAGGCAGCAGUGAGGAAUAUUGGACAAUGGACGGAAGUCUGAUCCAGCCAUGCCGCGUGUAGGAAGACUGCCCUAUGGGUUGUAAACUACUUUUAUACAGGAAGAAUAAGAUCUACGUGUAGAUUGAUGACGGUACUGUAAGAAUAAGGACCGGCUAACUCCGUGCCAGCAGCCGCGGUAAUACGGAGGGUCCGAGCGUUAUCCGGAAUUAUUGGGUUUAAAGGGUCCGUAGGCGGGCUGUUAAGUCAGAGGUGAAAUGCUGCGGCUCAACCGUAUGCACUGCCUUUGAUACUGGCGGUCUUGAGUUAUAGUGAAGUGGCUAGAAUAAGUAGUGUAGCGGUGAAAUGCAUAGAUAUUACUUAGAAUACCGAUUGCGAAGGCAGGUCACUAACUAUACACUGACGCUGAUGGACGAAAGCGUGGGUAGCGAACAGGAUUAGAUACCCUGGUAGUCCACGCCGUAAACGAUGGAUACUAGCUGUUCGGUUUUCGGACUGAGCGGCCAAGCGAAAGUGAUAAGUAUCCCACCUGGGGAGUACGUUCGCAAGAAUGAAACUCAAAGGAAUUGACGGGGGCCCGCACAAGCGGUGGAGCAUGUGGUUUAAUUCGAUGAUACGCGAGGAACCUUACCAGGCUUAAAUGUAGAUUGACAGGUUUAGAGAUAGACUUUUCUUCGGACAAUUUACAAGGUGCUGCAUGCUGUCGUCAGCU